GAUUGUAUCUUUGUGCUAAGUCCCUAGUUUUGGUUUUGAAACACUUCACAUUUCUCAUUUAGUUUUUUUUUUUUAAACUCACUUGGUUCCAAUUGAUUUAUUUUCUUUAGACUUGGGGACAAGACCUCGUACAUCUCAAUGUCUUCAUCUUAUUCCAUUUGGAAAGUUCAUACUUCUUGACAAGUUUUGCUAAAAAGGUUUUCAAUGAGGCGGUGUUGUCCAUACUUAUCUACUUGGGAUGUCAAUUUUACCAUUGAUACAUAUUUGUCCUUCUAGCUUACUCAAGAAUCACUUGACCUUUGUAUGAAUCUCAUAUUAAAUCUUUGGUCAUAAGAGUUCAUCUUUUAUCUACCAA